GACCGUGCAAAGGUAGCAUAAUCAUUUGCCUUAUAAUUGAAGGCUUGUAUGAAUGGUUUGACAAGAAUAAAACUGUCUCUUUAAAAUUAAAUACAAUUUUAUUUAUAGGUGAAGAAGCCUAUAUAAAAUUGAAAGACAAGAAGACCCUAUCGAGCUUUAAAAAAAUUGAUAAGUUUAAAAUCAUAUUUUUACUGAAUUAGUUAUUAAAAAUUUUAGUUGGGGCGACUAAGGAACAAAAAAAGCUUCCUAAAAAUUUAGAUACAUUUCAAGUUUUGAUCCAAAAAUUUUGAUUAAAGAAAUUAGUUACCGUAGGGAUAACAGCAUUAUCUUUUUUAAGAGCCCAAAUCGAAAAAAAGGUUUGUGACCUCGAUGUUGGACCAGAAUGUCCUGAAGAUGUAGCCGUCUUCAAGGGUUGGUCUGUUCGACCAUUAAAAUUCUACGUGAUCUGAGUUCAGACCGGCGUGAGCCAGGUCAGUUUCUAUCUUCAAUUUUUCAUUUGGACUUAGUACGAAAGGACCAGUCUACAGUAAUAAAUUAAACUAAAAAGAUAAAGUAUAAAGAAGAUUUAAAUUAAUAAGAUUAUAAAAGUCAAAUUAGCAAAGUUAAUGCAAUUGAUUUAGGAUCAAUAGACAUAGGUGAAAAUCCUUUAUUUGAUAUAAUCUAUAAAGGUGGCAGACAAA
rnacentral:rRNA from 1 species